rnacentral:rRNA from 1 species
UGAAAAGGAAGCGAUUGGGACCCUUCCGAUUCCAAGAAGUGCCGCCGGGGUUUGCCAUCUAUCCCUUUGCCUUCUCUCUCUCACCAGGUUUAGGCUUAGGUUUUUCGAUGUAUUUCCGGUUAAUCUUUUUGGAGAGGUCAGCAUCAGCUACUCGGAAUUGAUUUCGUUCAAAGAAGGUAGGUUCCUUGUGGACCCUUAUAACUUUGUUCUUUCCUUUUCCUUGUGGCUGAGGAGUGUUUUGGUUUCCGAGCUCCACUUUCGAGUACUCGGUUUCUGUGAUGCUGGCUUAAUCGGUUCCAACCGACCCGUCUUGAAACACGGACCAAGGAGUCUAACAUAUGUGCGAGUAUGCGGGUUUUACUCCUGUAUGCGCAAUGAAAGUGAGAGUAGGGAGAUUUUGGCUUUGCCAUUCUUCGCACCUACGACCGACCACGAUCUCUGAGAGAGGUUUGAGUUGGAGCAUAUCUGUUAGGACCCGAAAGAUGGUGAACUAUGCCUGAGUAGAAUGAAGUCAGGGGAAACCCUGAUGGAGGUUCGUAGCGAUACUGACGUGCAAAUCGUUCGUCAAACUUGGGUAUAGGGGCGAAAGACUAAUCGAACCAUCUAGUAG